CUCGGACCAAAGACAGGACCAGUGUUCUGGAAAAACACCGGGAUCUUUGAGAGGAAACAGCAAACGCCACUCAUUCAGUCACGUUAAAUAAACACGGAAUGUUCAAACAAUCAUUUCAGCACAAGGAGUGAGCUAGAGAUAAGCAUCUUCUCCAAACUUCCUCCUGCUAAGCACAUAGCUAACACUCCCUCCUCUCCUUGGCCCAAAAGAAGUGACAGAAUAUGAAGAUGCCAGACCCUUUUUCCCACUAGAAGGAAGAAGAUGAGCUGACGAUGGCUGGAAGUGAUAAAGAAAGUA
rnacentral:lncRNA from 1 species